AAGUCGAGCGGGCGUAGCAAUACGUCAGCGGCAGACGGGUGAGUAACGCGUGGGAACGUACCUUUUGGUUCGGAACAACACAGGGAAACUUGUGCUAAUACCGGAUAAGCCCUUACGGGGAAAGAUUUAUCGCCGAAAGAUCGGCCCGCGUCUGAUUAGCUAGUUGGUGAGGUAAUGGCUCACCAAGGCGACGAUCAGUAGCUGGUCUGAGAGGAUGAUCAGCCACAUUGGGACUGAGACACGGCCCAAACUCCUACGGGAGGCAGCAGUGGGGAAUAUUGGACAAUGGGGGCAACCCUGAUCCAGCCAUGCCGCGUGAGUGAUGAAGGCCCUAGGGUUGUAAAGCUCUUUUGUGCGGGAAGAUAAUGACGGUACCGCAAGAAUAAGCCCCGGCUAACUUCGUGCCAGCAGCCGCGGUAAUACGAAGGGGGCUAGCGUUGCUCGGAAUCACUGGGCGUAAAGGGUGCGUAGGCGGGUCUUUAAGUCAGGGGUGAAAUCCUGGAGCUCAACUCCAGAACUGCCUUUGAUACUGAAGAUCUUGAGUUCGGGAGAGGUGAGUGGAACUGCGAGUGUAGAGGUGAAAUUCGUAGAUAUUCGCAAGAACACCAGUGGCGAAGGCGGCUCACUGGCC
rnacentral:rRNA from 1 species